rnacentral:rRNA from 1 species
AUUGAACGCUGGCGGCAUGCUUUACACAUGCAAGUCGAACGGUAACAGGCCGCAAGGUGCUGACGAGUGGCGAACGGGUGAGUAAUGCAUCGGAACGUGCCCAGUCGUGGGGGAUAACUGCUCGAAAGAGCAGCUAAUACCGCAUACGAUCUAGGGAUGAAAGCGGGGGACCGUAAGGCCUCGCGCGAUUGGAGCGGCCGGUGUCAGAUGAGGUAGGUGGUGGGGUAAAGGCUCCCCAAGCCAACGAUCUGUAGCUGGUCCGAGAGGGCGACCAGCCACACUGGGACUGCGACACGGCCCAUACUCCUACGGGAGUCAGCCGUGGGGAACUUUGGACAAUGGGCGCAACCCUGAUCCAGCUAUGCCGCGUGCAGGAAGAAGGCCUUCUUGUUGUAAGCUGCUUUUGUACGGAACGAAACGGUCUGGGUUAAUACCCUGGGCUAAUGACGGUACCGUAAGAAUAAGCACCGGCUAACUACGUGCCAGCCGCCGCAGUAAAAC